rnacentral:pre_miRNA from 1 species
GGAGUACUACCUUCGUUCGAAAAUACUUGUCCUAGAGAUGAAUGUAUCUAGACUUAUUUUAAUUAUAGAUACAUCCAUUAUAUGCAUUUUUAGAACAAGUCGGACGGAGGGAGUACAUU